GGAGGGAAUCUUCCGCAAUGGGCGAAAGCCUGACGGAGCAACGCCGCGUGAGUGAUGAAGGUCUUCGGAUCGUAAAACUCUGUUAUUAGGGAAGAACAAAUGUGUAAGUAACUGUGCACGUCUUGACGGUACCUAAUCAGAAAGCCACGGCUAACUACGUGCCAGCAGCCGCGGUAAUACGUAGGUGGCAAGCGUUAUCCGGAAUUAUUGGGCGUAAAGCGCGCGUAGGCGGUUUCUUAAGUCUGAUGUGAAAGCCCACGGCUCAACCGUGGAGGGUCAUUGGAAACUGGGAAACUUGAGUGCAGAAGAGGAAAGUGGAAUUCCAUGUGUAGCGGUGAAAUGCGCAGAGAUAUGGAGGAACACCAGUGGCGAAGGCGACUUUCUGGUCUGUAACUGACGCUGAUGUGCGAAAGCGUGGGGAUCAAACAG
rnacentral:rRNA from 1 species